GUGUCAGCAGCCGCGGUAAUACAGAGGGUGCGAGCGUUAAUCGGAAUUACUGGGCGUAAAGAGCACGUAGGUGGUUGUAUAAGUCAUUUGUGAAAUGUCUGGGCUUAACCUGGACCUGUCAGGUGAGACUGUAUGACUAGAGUUCUGUAGAGGGUAGUGGAAUUUCUGGUGUAGCGGUGAAAUGCGUAGAGAUCAGAAGGAACACCCGUGGCGAAGGCGGCUACCUGGACAGAAACUGACACUGAGGUGCGAAAGCGUGGGUAGCGAACAGGAUUAGAUACCCUGGUAGUCCACGCCGUAAAUGGUGUCAACUAGCUGUUGGUACUUUAGAAGUACGAGUAGCGAAGCUAACGCGCUAAGUUGACCGCCUGGGGAGUACGGCCGCAAGGUUAAA
rnacentral:rRNA from 1 species